UUUUUCUUCCGGAUGACCGCGCGCCUACGGGCGGGAGGAAAGUCCGGGCUUCGAGGGCAGCGUAGCGGGUAACACCCGUCCGGCGCAAGCCGAGGAUUAGAGCCACAGAGACGAGUCCGCAGGAUUCAACUCCUGCGGGGUGAAACGCGGCAAUCUCUACGUGAAGAAAGGCCAAAUAGGAUGAGGUUUGUGAAGCGGCCCGCUUACGUCUCCGGACGCCUCAUCGGGUAGGCCGCAUGAGAUUUCGGGCGACCGGAAUCCAAGAGAGAUGGUCAUCGCCCCAUGGGCACAGAACCCGGCUUAUAGGGAGAAAAAAGGC
rnacentral:RNase_P_RNA from 1 species